UUUAUUGAUUCGAUUCAAAAUCGUGGUAUGUGUUUUAAUUUUGAUGUAAUUUGUUCCUUUUAGUUGGGUUCACUUUUUGCGUAUAACCAAUUAAUUGUUUGAUUUGUUUUUGUGGUGUUCCUUUUCUUCUGUUAUCAAUAGAUCGGAGGAUUAAUAUUAGUUGAUUCCUCUUCAAAUUUUGUUACUUUUAUCCUUUUUGGAUUUGGGUUUCCACUUUUUCAGGUUUUGAUUAUUUUGAG
rnacentral:lncRNA from 1 species